GACGAACGCUGGCGGCGUGCUUAACACAUGCAAGUCGAACGAAGUGGCGAACGGGUGAGUAACGCGUAAUCCACCUGCCCUUCAGAGGGGGACAACAGUUGGAAACGACUGCUAAUACCGCAUACUGAAGGAGGGGAUUGCGUCUGAUUAGCUGGUUGGAGGGGUAACGGCCCACCAGGGCGAUGAUCAGUAGCCGGUCUUAGAGGAUGAACGGGCAAAUUGGGACUGAGAAAAGGCGCAGACUCCUACGGGAGUAAGCAGUGGGGAAGCUUCCGCAAUGGACGAAAGUCUGACGGAGCAACGCCGCGGGAGUUAUGACGGCCUUCGGGUUGUAAAGCUCUGUUAAGCGGGACGCGGUACCGGAAUAGAAAGCCACGGCUAACUACGUGCCAGCAGCCGCGGUAAUUC
rnacentral:rRNA from 1 species